GACGGAGGGUGCAAGCGUUGUUCGGAAUUACUGGGCGUAAAGGGCGCGUAGGCGGUCUGUUAAGUUCGGUGUGAAAUCCCCCGGCUCACCCGGGGAAGGGCGCCGGAUACUGGCAGACUCGAGUACCGGAGAGGAGGGUGGAAUUCCUGGUGUAGCGGUGAAAUGCGUAGAUAUCAGGAGGAACACCGGUGGCGAAGGCGGCCCUCUGGACGGAUACUGACGCUGAGGCGCGAAAGCGUGGGGAUCAAACAGG
rnacentral:rRNA from 1 species